rnacentral:rRNA from 1 species
GUGGGGAAUUUUGGACAAUGGGCGCAAGCUUGAUCCAGCAAUGCUGCGUGCAGGAAGAAGGCCUUCGGGUUGUAAACUGCUUUUGUACGGAACGAAACGGUCCGGGUUAAUACCCUGGGCUAAUGACGGUACCGUAAGAAUAAGCACCGGCUAACUACGUGCCAGCAGCCGCGGUAAUACGUAGGGUGCAAGCGUUAAUCGGAAUUACUGGGCGUAAAGCGUGCGCAGGCGGUUUUGUAAGACAGGCGUGAAAUCCCCGGGCUCAACCUGGGAAUUGCGCUUGUGACUGCAAGACUGGAGUGCGGCAGAGGGGGAUGGAAUUCCGCGUGUAGCAGUGAAAUGCGUAGAUAUGCGGAGGAACACCGAUGGCGAAGGCAAUCCCCUGGGCCUGCACUGACGCUCAUGCACGAAAGCGUGGGGAGCAAACAGGAUUAGAUACCCGGGUAGUCC